rnacentral:rRNA from 1 species
UACGUAGGGUGCAAGCGUUGUCCGGAAUUAUUGGGCGUAAAGAGCUCGUAGGCGGUCUGUCGCGUCUGCUGUGAAAACUCAGGGCUUAACCCUGAGCUUGCAGUGGGUACGGGCAGACUAGAGUGCGGUAGGGGAGACUGGAAUUCCUGGUGUAGCGGUGAAAUGCGCAGAUAUCAGGAGGAACACCGGUGGCGAAGGCGGCCAACUGGACGAAUACUGACGCU